rnacentral:rRNA from 1 species
GCCUACGGGACGCAGCAGUGGGGAAUAUUGCACAAUGGGGGAAACCCUGAUGCAGCGACGCCGCGUGAGUGAAGAAGUAUUUCGGUAUGUAAAGCUCUAUCAGCAGGGAAGAAAAUGACGGUACCUGACUAAGAAGCCCCGGCUAACUACGUGCCAGCAGCCGCGGUAAUACGUAGGGGGCAAGCGUUAUCCGGAUUUACUGGGUGUAAAGGGAGCGUAGACGGCAGCGCAAGUCUGAAGUGAAAUCACAUGGCUUAACGAUGGAACUGCUUUGGAAACUGUGCAGCUGGAGUG